GCUUCCCCCUUGCCUUUGAAAUCUAACAUUUUCCCUUCAAACAGACUACAACUUACAUACAGAGUUUUUUUGUGGUAUGAAGGAUCAAUGUUAAAUAAUCAUUAAUCUUGUAUGUCAUUUAUUCGGAACAAAAUCUAGAAAAACCUUUCAAAAUAUGUACAUAAAACGGGUUAUUUAUAUUUAUUAAUGGAUAGAAACACUGUUUUAUUUUUGGCUCUAGUGAAAUCUUCAUUCUAUAGGACAGGAAUCAUCAAACUCAAUAAUACUAGAAUAAUAUUUGGUGGUCCAAAACAUGAAAGAUUUGCUUUGAACAGGGUAACUAACUCUUAUGCAGGUCAGGCCAAUUUAAAUAAGAAUAUAUGCACAUGCACAUUACAAUAUAACUACUGGCAUGAAUUCUCAUCAAACUAUCCCUGAAAUCUUCCAACUUUACAAAUAUAUUCAGUGGAAUGAAAAGAGCAAUAUAUUUUCAUCUUGCAGUAAAAAUAUAAAAAGUACAAUUUUAUUCUGAAAUAAAUGAGAAAACUUAAAUUUCAUUCUAUAGUACAUCCACAUUUACAAGCAUUUAAUAAUAUAGGUAAAUUAUACUCAUCAAUACAGACUUCUAAGGGUUUCAAAAAUACAAUACUUAUGCUUUUAAAGAGAUGUAGAUUAUAAGUCAAUAACAGAGCAUCCUAACAACACACACAAAAACAAAAUGUCUAGAGGUUAAAAUAUGGUCAUAAUAAAUUGGUAAUUCAUAAACACAUAAUUGAUAGCACCCUGUGAUCAGUUUCAUCAGAAAUCUUAUGACUAAAGUUGAUUGUAAGUCCUGAAUAAUUUGGUAUACUUACAAUCAAUUUAAGUACCAAGAUUUUUUUAUAAGCCAAUGAAUCAUCACAAGACGCUGUUAAUCAUGAGUUUUGAAAAUUCUUUGUCAUGGUUAAUUUUGUUCUACUAAAACACAUAAUAAAUAUAGCUUCAACAAAUGAAAGUUCCAUUGGAGUUAUCAUGUCACAACACUUCUUCCCAUUACUCAGCAGUCAACAUAUGGUUUUCAACAACAGACUAGUGUUGAUGCCUUAUAACAAUAACUUUCUCCCAAAGCUGUAUAACCAACAUAAACUAUGAGACUAUUCAACAACUAAAGGAAUAAAACAUUAAGAUAAUACCUUAAAACAGCAAUUUUUCCAUUUGUAAAGGGGCUAGUGACACCACCAACAUUCAAACUUGAUCUGUAUUAUGUGGUAUUAAGCAUGGUGUAUAAGUUUCAUAACAUUUGGUUGAGGGAAACUUAAGUUAGAGAAUGGAAACCAACUUUGGGACGUACGUACAGACAAGGGUAAAAAUUAAUGGCCCCUCUGCCAUGGCAGGGACAUUAAAACUAAUCAAAUCAAAAUCUUGGUAUAGUAUACGGCAAUAACUGCACAUAAUGAAAAACAUUUCUACCAAGUUUGUCAAACCGUCUCAGAGGAGUUACAUUCACCAAUUUUUUUUCUCUUUAAGUUCUGACUAUGGGAUUUAGCAGAGGAAGCAGAUUUGAGAGUGUACUGAAGAUCUAUUGAAUUGUGCAGAUAUAUAUAAAAACAGGACUAACUCUUCACUAGAGAAUGCUCUGCAUUGCCAAAUGAAAGCUCUAAGAACACACAUUUCCGUUUUAGUUUUAAGAAAACCACUUUAUACUAUUCUGUUGGUGGGAAUUAAUAACAGAUUUUGAUUCUGUGUGUUCUGCUUUGUAUGAAUUAGUUAUUACAUAUAAAUUGUAAAUUGUGUAUAUAUUCAACAACUAUUAUUAUAUAGUCAAAACAACUUCAUCAAUUUACAGAAACAUUAUACAACUAUAUAUUCAAACAAUCAAUUUGCAUAAAAAAAAUACAUGUAUAUAAAUAUUAUACUUAUUAAAUAAGAUUAAAUUUAAGUUUGAAAAGAGAAAAUGUCAUACAAC
rnacentral:lncRNA from 1 species